rnacentral:rRNA from 1 species
ACGCUGGCGGCAUGCCUUACACAUGCAACGUCGAACGGCAGCACGGAGCUUGCUCUGGUGGCGAGUGGCGAACGGGUGAGUAAUAUAUCGGAACGUACCCUAGAGUGGGGGAUAACGUAGCGAAAGUUACGCUAAUACCGCAUACGAUCUAAGGAUGAAAGUGGGGGAUCGCAAGACCUCAUGCUCGUGGAGCGGCCGAUAUCUGAUUAGCUAGUUGGUAGGGUAAAAGCCUACCAAGGCAUCGAUCAGUAGCUGGUCUGAGAGGACGACCAGCCACACUGGAACUGAGACACGGUCCAGACUCCUACGGGAGGCAGCAGUGGGGAAUUUUGGACAAUGGGCGAAAGCCUGAUCCAGCAAUGCCGCGUGAGUGAAGAAGGCCUUCGGGUUGUAAAGCUCUUUUGUCAGGGAAGAAACGGUGAGAGCUAAUAUCUCUUGCUAAUGACGGUACCUGAAGAAUAAGCACCGGCUAACUACGUGCCAGCAGCCGCGGUAAUACGUAGGGUGCAAGCGUUAAUCGGAAUUACUGGGCGUAAAGCGUGCGCAGGCGGUUUUGUAAGUCUGAUGUGAAAUCCCCGGGCUCAACCUGGGAAUUGCAUUGGAGACUGCAAGGCUAGAAUCUGGCAGAGGGGGGUAGAAUUCCACGUGUAGCAGUGAAAUGCGUAGAUAUGUGGAGGAACACCGAUGGCGAAGGCAGCCCCCUGGGUCAAGAUUGACGCUCAUGCACGAAAGCGUGGGGAGCAAAC